GCCGGUCUAGCUCAACUGGCAGAGCAACUGACUUGUAAUCAGUAGGUUGGGGGUUCAAGUCCUCUGGCCGGCACCA
rnacentral:tRNA from 1 species